GAAGGCGGCCCCCUGGACAAAGNCUGACGNUCAGGUGNGAAAGCGUGGGGAGCAAACAGGAUUAGAUACCNNGGUANNCCACGCUGUAAACGAUGUCGACUUGGAGGUUGUGCCCUUGAGGCGUGGCUUCCGGAGCUAACGCGUUAAGUCGACCGCCUGGGGAGUACGGCCGCAAGGUUAAAACUCAAAUGAAUUGACGGGGGCCCGCACAAGCGGUGGAGCAUGUGGUUUAAUUCGAUGCAACGCGAAGAACCUUACCUACUCUUGACAUCCAGAGAACUUNGCAGAGAUGCUUUGGUGCCUUCGGGAACUCUGAGACAGGUGCUGCAUGGCUGUCGUCAGCUCGUGUUGUGAAAUGUUGGGUUAAGUCCCGCAACGAGCGCAACCCUUAUCCUUUGUUGCCAGCGAGUAAUGUCGGGAACUCAAAGGAGACUGCCGGUGAUAAACCGGAGGAAGGUGGGGAUGACGUCAAGUCAUCAUGGCCCUUACGAGUAGGGCUACACACGUGCUACAAUGGCGUAUACAAAGGGAAGCGACCCUGCGAAGGCAAGCGGAACUCAUAAAGUACGUCGUAGUCCGGAUUGGAGUCUGCAACUCGACUCCAUGAAGUCGGAAUCGCUAGUAAUCGUAGAUCAGAAUGCUACGGUGAAUACGUUCCCGGGCCUUGUACACACCGCCCNUCACNCCAUGGGAGUGGGUUGCAAAAGAAGUAGGUAGCUUANCCUUCGGGAGGG
rnacentral:rRNA from 1 species